AUGAAGAAUCUGAGCAUCACUGAGGAUGACUUGGAUGAUGUGGUUUUUGAAGAGCAAGAUGUUCCAGCGGACGCGGUUGCGCGGUGGAUGGCAGUCGCAAGAGUUCACACACUAAAGAGCUAUAGCCAGUACUGGUUCUUUCGCAAUAUGAGGGUUUCCUGGGAUCUGGCGCAGGAGGUGAAGAUCCGUCCGCUCGAAGAAAAUCUCUACAUAAUGCAGUUCUCUUGCCUGGGUGAUUGGGAA
rnacentral:rRNA from 1 species